AACGAACGCUGGCGGCAUGCCUAACACAUGCAAGUCGAACGAGACCUUCGGGUCUAGUUGCGCGCGGGCGCGUAACGCGUGGGAACCUGCCCUUAGGAUCGGGAUAACUCCCCGAACGGGGUGCUAAUACCGGGUAAUUUCUUCCGACUAAAGCUUCAUCGCCUUUUGGUGGGACUGCGUUGGGUUAUCUCGUUGGUAGGGUAACAGCCUUCCAAGGCGACGAUCCAUAGCUGGUCAGAGAGGAAGAGCAGCAACCAUGAGACUGAGACACGGGCCAGACUCCUACAGGAGGGAGCAGUGGGGAAUAUUGGAAAAUAGGAGAGAGGCUGAUGCAGCGAUGCGGUGUGAGUGGUGAAGGCCUGAGGGUUGUAAAACUCUUUCACCCGGGAGGAUAAUGACGGUACCGGGAGAAUAAGCCCCGGCUAACUACGUG
rnacentral:rRNA from 1 species